rnacentral:rRNA from 1 species
UACAGAGGUGGCAAGCGUUGUUCGGAAUUACUGGGCGUAAAGCGUGCGCAGGCGGUUAUGUAAGACAGAUGUGAAAUGCCCGGGCUUAACCUGGGAACUGCAUUUGUGACUGCAUGGCUAGAGUUUGGCAGAGGGGGGUAGAAUUCCACGUGUAGCAGUGAAAUGCGUAGAUAUGUGGAGGAACACCGAUGGCGAAGGCAGCCCCCUGGGUCAAGACUGACGCUCAUGCACGAAAGCGUGGGGAGCAAACAGG